rnacentral:tRNA from 1 species
UCCCCUGUAGCUCAACGGUAGAGCGCGCGACUGUUAAUCGCUAGGUUGGAGGUUCAAAUCCUCCCGGGGGAGCCA